UCGCCUGUUUAAUCAAAAACAUCGCCUCUUGGUUUUAAGCACAAGAGGUUGGGCCUGCCCGGUGAAUAACUAUUUAAACGGCCGCAGUGAAUAACUGUGCUAAGGUAGCGUAAUAAAUUGUCUCUUAAUUGGAGAAGGGUAUGAAUGGUUUAACGUGGUAGUAUCUGUCUCGGUGAUAAUAAGGUGAAGUUUUCUUUUGAGUUAAAAGACUUAAAUAUAAGUAAAAGACGAGAAGACCCUGUCGAGCUUGAUAAAAUUAUGGAAUGCUUUCGUAUAAUAAGUUUAGCUGGGGCAGCUGAAAACCAUGAAAUAGUUUUUUAUUACCUAAAGAUCCGGUUUUACCGAUUGUAAGAAAAAGCUACCGCAGGGAUAACAGCGUAAUCUUUUUUGAGAGAACUAAUUGAAGAAAAGGUUUGCGACCUCGAUGUUGGAUUAAAGUUUCUUUUUGGUGCAGCAGCUAAAAUAGUAGGACUGUUCGUCCUUUAAAACUUUACGUGAUCUGAGUUCAGACCGGA
rnacentral:rRNA from 1 species